rnacentral:rRNA from 1 species
UACAGAGGGUGCUAGCGUUGUUCGGAAUCAUUGGGCGUAAAGCGCACGUAGGCGGUCUGUUAUGUCGGAUGUGAAAGCCCUUGGCUCAACUGAGGAAGUGCAUCCGAAACUGGCAGGCUAGAGUACUAAAGAGGAUCGCGGAAUUCCCGGUGUAGAGGUGAAAUUCGUAGAUAUCGGGAGGAACACCGGUGGCGAAGGCGGCGAUCUGGGUAGAUACUGACGCUGAGGUGCGAAAGCGUGGGGAGCAAACAGG